rnacentral:rRNA from 1 species
CCCGCACAAGCGGUGGAGCAUGUGGUUUAAUUCGAUGCAACGCGAAGAACCUUACCUGGUCUUGACAUCCACGGAAGUUUUCAGAGAUGAGAAUGUGCCUUCGGGAACCGUGAGACAGGUGCUGCAUGGCUGUCGUCAGCUCGUGUUGUGAAAUGUUGGGUUAAGUCCCGCGACGAGCGCAACCCUUAUCCUUUGUUGCCAGCGGUCCGGCCGGGAACUCAAAGGAGACUGCCAGUGAUAAACUGGAGGAAGGUGGGAUGACGUCAAGUCAUCAUGGCCCUUACGACCAGGGCUACACACGUGCUACAAUGGCGCAUACAAAGAGAAGCGACCUCGCGAGAGCAAGCGGACCUCAUAAAGUGCGUCGUAGUCCGGAUUGGAGUCUGCAACUCGACUCCAUGAAGUCGGAAUCGCUAGUAAUCGUGGAUCAGAAUGCCACGGUGAAUACGUUCCCGGGCCUU